rnacentral:misc_RNA from 1 species
GGAACGCACAUUGCGCCCGCCAGUAUUCUGGCGGGCAUGCCUGUUCGAGCGUCAUUUCAACCCUCAAGCCCCAGCGGCCUGGUGUUGGGGACCGGCGACCUCGCUGACGCCCUUCUUGGGCCCAGCGUCCGCCGCCCCCGAAAUGAAUUGGCGGUCUCGUCGCGGCCUCCUCUGCGUAGUAGCACAACCUCGCAACAGGAGCGCGACGCGGCCACUGCCGUAAAACGCCCAACUUUUUUAGAGUUGACCUCGGAUCAGGUAGGAAUACCCGCUGAACUUAAGC